CUCUUCUUCUGGCCUGUUUUAGACAUGUGUGCUGAGAUGGAUUACCAGCGUCUGCAGACGUGCUGAACCAGCGACUGCUCGGGUCCUGCAGUCUGAGGAAGGAGCUUCCACCUAGUCUGGCCACAGGGGAGCAUCAAACCUGCCUCCAGAAUGGGAAUGUGCAACCAGCUGCCCUGCUGUACCCAAGCAAAUGAAUGAAAAGGGCACGAGUGAGCAUGCUGCAUUUUCUCCCUGGUCUGGAAGCACUGUCAUCACAGAGGUCUCCCCUCCAGUGCUUUCAGAUUGUUUGGUCCUGACAGGAUUCGGUCUGGAGCUGUCACCAGUUUGUUCAGCAGAGUCCAUUAGGGCAGAUAUCUUCAGCUCUGCUACAUGGAUCUUAUUUUCCAGCUGUCAUCUUGUAUGAAAAUGAAAUUUCUGUGGUAACCAGAUCAGUCAGAAUUGAUAAAUUCUUCCCACUUCAUGAGAAAACCUGUAUGUAUUUAAAACAGUGGAAAAACCUUUCCAUAGGGAAGGUGUGUGGAAGCAGAGCCCUGCAUCACCUCCUCCAUGUCUCCUGAGAAGGGGACCCACGUCUCCAUGGGUUCUGUGAAAUUUGCAUCAAGACUUAAUUAUAAUAAAUAAUAAAUACAAAG
rnacentral:lncRNA from 1 species